UACAGGGGGUGCAAGCGUUACUCGGAUUUACUGGGCGUAAAGAGCGCGUAGGCGGUUUGUUAAGUCUGGUGUGAAAGCCCUGGGCUCAAUCCAGGAAGUGCAUUGGAUACUGGCAGACUAGAGUGCAGGAGGGGUUGGCGGAAUUCCCGGUGUAGAGGUGAAAUUCGUAGAUAUCGGGAGGAACAACAGUGGCGAAGGCGGCCAACUGGACUGUUACUGACGCUGAGGCGCGAAAGCGUGGGGAGCAAACAGG
rnacentral:rRNA from 1 species